CAGUCGCCGCGGUAAUACGGAGGGUGCAAGCGUUAAUCGGAAUUACUGGGCGUAAAGCGUGCGUAGGCGGUUCGUUAAGUCUGUUGUGAAAGCCCCGGGCUCAACCUGGGAAUGGCAAUGGAUACUGGCGAGCUAGAGUGUGUCAGAGGAUGGUGGAAUUCCCGGCGUAGCGGUGAAAUGCGUAGAGAUCGGGAGGAACAUCAGUGGCGAAGGCGGCCAUCUGGGACAACAUUGACGCUGAGGCACGAAAGCGUGGGGAACAAACAGGAUUAGAUACCCCCGUAGUCCCUGUCUCUUAUAC
rnacentral:rRNA from 1 species